AGUGAACGCUGGCGGUAGGCCUAACACAUGCAAGUCGAACGGCAGCACAGUAAGAGCUUGCUCUUACGGGUGGCGAGUGGCGGACGGGUGAGGAAUACAUCGGAAUCUACUUUUUCGUGGGGGAUAACGUAGGGAAACUUACGCUAAUACCGCAUACGACCUACGGGUGAAAGCAGGGGAUCUUCGGACCUUGCGCGAUUGAAUGAGCCGAUGUCGGAUUAGAUAGUUGGCGGGGUAAAGGCCCACCAAGGCGACGAUCCGUAGCUGGUCUGAGAGGAUGAUCAGCCACACUGGAACUGAGACACGGUCCAGACUCCUACGGGAGGCAGCAGUGGGGAAUAUUGGACAAUGGGCGAAAGCCUGAUCCAGCCAUACCGCGUGAGUGAAGAAGGCCUUCGGGUUGUAAAGCCCUUUUGUUGGGAAAGAAAAGCAGCAGGUUAAUACCCCGCUGUUCUGACGGUACCCAAAGAAUAAGCACCGGCUAACUUCGUG
rnacentral:rRNA from 1 species